CGUGUAUCUAAUUUUUAUACGACAAUUAUUUACUUAUAAAGAUAUUUUUCGCUGGUAUUUACUGAUUGUCAAAGUCAUGUGAUUUGCUAUGGUGGAGUUGACCAGUGCGUUGAAAAAACGUCACUCGGUCAUUUUAAAAUUCAAAUUACAGUAACACAUUGCUCAGACUGAGGAUGUCAUGACAAUCAUGAAACCUUCAAAGCGACACAGGAUUGAGGAAGAACGUAUUGACUACUAUUUCACUAUUCCACCAAACAGAAAGUAAUAGUAAAUACUCUAUAGACU
rnacentral:lncRNA from 1 species